rnacentral:tRNA from 1 species
AGUUUAGCUCAGUGGUAGAGCAGCUGUUUUGUAAACAGCCGGUCGUUGGUUCGAAUCCGACAAC